GACGAACGCUGGCGGCGUGCUUAACACAUGCAAGUCGAACGGAAAGGCCCUGCUUUUGUGGGGUGCUCGAGUGGCGAACGGGUGAGUAACACGUGAGUAACCUGCCCUUGACUUUGGGAUAACUUCAGGAAACUGGGGCUAAUACCGGAUAGGAGCUCCUGCUGCAUGGUGGGGGUUGGAAAGUUUCGGCGGUUGGGGAUGGACUCGCGGCUUAUCAGCUUGUUGGUGGGGUAGUGGCUUACCAAGGCUUUGACGGGUAGCCGGCCUGAGAGGGUGACCGGCCACAUUGGGACUGAGAUACGGACCAGACUCCUACGGGAGGCAGCAGUGGGGAAUAUUGCACAAUGGGCGGAAGCGUGAUGCAGCAACGCCGCGUGCGGGAUGACGGCCUUCGGGUUGUAAACCGCUUUCGCCUGUGACGAGGCGUGAGUGACGGUAAUGGGUAAAGAAGCACCGGCUAACUACGUG
rnacentral:rRNA from 1 species